GACGAACGCUGGCGGCGUGCUUAACACAUGCAAGUCGAGCGAUGAAGCACCUUCGGGUGUGAAUUAGCGGCGAACGGGUGAGGAACACGUGAGAAAUCUGCCUUCAACACUGGGAUAACUCCGGGAAACCGGGGCUAAUACCGGAUAUGAAACCUGCGGGCAUCCGCGGGUUUGGAAAGUUUUUCGGUUGAAGAUGAUCUCGCGGCCUAUCAGCUUGUUGGUGAGGUAAUGGCUCACCAAGGCGACGACGGGUAGCCGGCCUGAGAGGGCGACCGGCCACACUGGGACUGAGACACGGCCCAGACUCCUACGGGAGGCAGCAGUGGGGAAUAUUGGGCAAUGGAGGAAACUCUGACCCAGCGACGCCGCGUGCGGGAUGAAGGCCUUCGGGUUGUAAACCGCUUUCAGCAGGGAAGAAGCGAAAGUGACGGUACCUGCAGAAGAAGCACCGGCUAACUAUGUGCCAGCAGCCGCGGUAAUACAUAGGGUGCAAGCGUUGUCCGGAAUUAUUGGGCGUAAAGAGCUCGUAGGUGGUUCGUCACGUCGGAUGUGAAACUCUGGGGCUUAACCCCAGACCUGCAUUCGAUACGGGCGAGCUUGAGUAUGGUAGGGGAGUCUGGAAUUCCUGGUGUAGCGGUGGAAUGCGCAGAUAUCAGGAGGAACACCAAUGGCGAAGGC
rnacentral:rRNA from 1 species